CACGUAGGGUGCGAGCGUUGUCCGGAAUUAUUGGGCGUAAAGAGCUCGUAGGCGGUGUGUCGCGUCGGCCGUGAAAACCUGCAGCUUAACUGUGGGCGUGCGGUCGAUACGGGCAGACUAGAGGUAGGUAGGGGAGAUUGGAAUUCCCGGUGUAGCGGUGAAAUGCGCAGAUAUCGGGAGGAACACCGGUGGCGAAGGCUGUUCUCUGGGCCUUACCUGACGCUGAGGAGCGAAAGCGUGGGGAGCAAACAGG
rnacentral:rRNA from 1 species